CUGCUCUGCAUCGGGAACUCGCCGUCCGAGAUGACCACGGGCACGUGGUAGACGCUCUUCUGGAGGCUGUUGUAGCUGUUCCUCCGCGUCAGGAUCCAGGCUGUGUUGUCUUCAAAACAGCAACGACAGGGAAUCCUGUUACUACGCAGCGAUCAACAGCCUGGAAUGAAUGUUGGAGUUGACCUCUUCUUGGUCCGUCCAUGUGACGUUUUAGUUACCUUUGUUGUCACGGACGGAGAAGUUGGCCUUCCCGGCGGCCUCCUGUGCGAGACUGAAGAAGAACCGGUGUCCUCCGAGCGGCUCGUCGGGGUCGGUGGCGCUCACGGUUUGUAUCCUCUGAGAUGGAGAAAGGAAACGAGACGGACGGCGACGACGAGCCGAGUCGGGGGCCCGAGGACGGAUGUCGGCAGAAGCUUCAGUGGACGAGCCGCAGUGUUUCCGGGGCAACGCUCUUUUGACAGAGAGUUUGACAGUUUGGUUAUCGGCGACAACACGAAGCCCACGAGCAAAACGAACGGCGUAACCGGCGGCAAAACGCGGCGGAGCUCGAUGCUGCGGGUGCAGCGUUUGCUUUCACCACGUCUGGAACUGGAGGCAGUGAAUCUAUCAAAAGAACGGAUGGAACCGGAGGAUUUGAGACAGAAAUAUGUGACGGGGAGUCAGACAACAGGGAGCGUUUCAGCAGGACAACGGCCCGAAAGGCAAAAACCUCCCGCAGCACGACAGCGAUUGAAAAGGAAAAAAAGAUGAAAUGUUUUAACGAGUCCUGAUCGGAAUGUGACAAGAGGUCUCAGCUUCUGAUAAACUAUAUACUGUCGUCGGUGCCGACUCAGGUUUCACCUCCGUCCAUCUGCUACUUACACCGGAACGCUUACUCUGCUUCUUUGCUGUAGUUUUGUCUUUUCCGUCCUUUUCCUAUUUACUGUAUCGAAUGUGAUCUGGACAUGCUCCAUAUGAACUGUGCCCCAAAAAACAAACACUUAAGAGUUGCAGGAGAAGCAAAGGAGCAGAAAGAUGCGACGAGAAAACAUCUCAGACUGUCGUCAUUUCCUGAGGUACAGUUUUUUGGGUUUUUUUACAGUUUCCCCAAAUUUUAAUGAAGUAAACAAUGUAAAUUAUUUCUCCUGCAGCCGAGUUCCAAUAUUCAUCAUGCAACAUGGUGAAAAGGCAUUUUUCUUUUCUUCUUCUUUGAAUACCGCCGAGCACGAGCCAACGAGUCGAUCAAGUCACGUGUCGUCUCACUUCCUGUGAGCAGCGACGAACUCGUACAGUCGUGGGAUUUACAAGUGACACUGACACGACUCGCUGUCAACAGUUCACGUCCGUGGUGUCGCGGCAUUCGGGGGAAAUGGCGGCGGCGCAACUGAGAAGCAAACUGUCAGACUGUGGCUCGUCGGGUCCUUCUCUCUCCAUCAUGUUCAGACCUCUACCUUCAGACACCGUCUGCUGCGAUUUGACGCCAAACAAAUAAAACUCAGUUGAAUUCCGCGGAUUCUUUUUCGAGCCUCUUUGACCGUGGACGUGUUCUUGGCCUAUUUAAUCAUAUGAAUAUUUAGAGGUCAGAACUGUUCUGAAAACUCUCCACUUGAGAUGUGAGGUUAUGAAAAUCAAAAAAAAAAACCACAAGGUCCCCAGAUGCAUCGGUCGCCCUUCGCAUCUCGUUCUCCUCUCAAACACGUAACAGAUUCACAAACUCUCUCCGAGUGCCGCUAAUUACAUCAUGAGGACCCUCGCGUUCCGUCGCACCCACCUGAUUGGCCUUCGCGUUCUCGCACACAAACGUCUCGUAGUUGGUGGCGAACGUCGGGGCGUUGUCGUUGACGUCCAGCACCCGGACGAAGACCGGCACGCGGCUGAUCUGUCGCGGGUUGCCUGGGAAACGAGGAGAGCGGACAAAGCAGGGAAGAGUGAAUUUACUGAAAGGAGGCAAAUUAGAGAAAGAAUUUCUGAUUUUAUUUUAUUUUUUUAAAAAGAGAAACUCCUUAGUAGAUUAGAAAAGCCCUUUUGCAAUAUGAUCAAAUAUUAUUUCAAAGCAACGUUUCUCAUAAGAGCCUGUCGGUUUUCUCACAUUUUUUUCCCCCCACUUCAACACACAACAUUCAGCGGUUAUCAUCAAAGCUCGUAUCAAUCCACCAAAGGGACGAGGCGAGGAGCUGCUGCACUCACUGAACUCGGUGGCGAGGACGGAGAUGUUGUGCCAGGCGUUCUCCUCUCGGUCCAGCUCCCUGAGGAUGAACACCGAGCCGUUGCCCGCGUGGACGUUGAACACUCUGUCCAUGUCUGUGCGUCGAUCGAUAGAGUACCUGCACAAAACACACACACACACACACACACACACACACACACACACACAGGGAGCGGCUUCGUGAACUCGUGUGUGGAAACGGUCACGUGUGCGUGUGUGAGACUGUAAAUUGUUGUUCCCAGUUACUCUUUGUGAAAUUAAACCAUAGAGAUAUAGAUUCAGGUUUACACCAGUUCACAGUGAAGUCGUAUUGAAUUCCACGUGUUGCUCAAACCAGUGAAAAAUUAUAUUUUACCAGGAUCAACUGCAAUAUCAUAAAUCCUCUAAGUCAGUCUGAGGAUUACUCCGACUUAACGAGCACUUUUCCAGCGCUAGUUUUUUUUUUUUUUUUUUGCAAAUGUCAUCCCACAAAUUUCUGAUUAAAUGAUUUAAUCUGACAUCACAUUUGAUUUAAAACGUACUUCUGCUCAGCAAACGCCAACAAGCAAACUAAGAGACCUGGACGCUGCUGCUACAAAAAAGAGCGCCAAAGUUAGGAACUGAGCCAGCAGAGCGUUAAUUAUUAAAAAAGAAUAUUGCGUCGUUAAUGGAUUACUUUGUGAUAUGAGUCUCUGUUUUUCUGUCUGUCCUGUGUGUAUGAAUGUUUCAUGUUUUCAUGAUGUUGAUGUAUCAAGGGGAGUGUAUAUUUUUGUUCUUGAAGAUGGAAGGUGGAAAGCAUCAAACCAAAUAAAAAUCAAUAUAAAUAACAAACA